rnacentral:sRNA from 1 species
AUUCCGGGCACCAGGCUCCGGGCUCUUCAGAGCAUUUGGGGCGGGCGACGGAGGUCCCGUCCACUCUCGCUUGGGUGCAGAAGGGCGCGGCGGUGCCAGGAAGCCGCCUUGGAGGCUCCAAGAUUAGCUCAAACUCAGCGCGGCCAAGCGCAGGUGCGGGGGCCCUCGCCGCCGCCCUGCUUAUCUGGGGACAGUCCCGGAACCCGGGGACCCGGCUCCGCCCCAACCCGCGCCCUCGUCCACCCGCAGCAGCCAGGCCUCUUCCCCGGCCCCGGGAGCCCGCGCCGCGCCCGUCGCUCGCGCGUUCCAGUCCAGGCUACGAGCAGGUGGUGCCUCGGUGCACAAUGCCAUGCAGCUGAAGCCGGGCAAACCCAAUGGCUGGAGGAUUCCCUUCAACAGCCAUGAGGGCGGCUGUGGGGCUGCCAUGCGGGCCAUGUGCAUUGGUCUCAGGUUCCCACACCAUAGCCAACUGGACACACUGAUCCAAGUGAGCAUCGAGAGUGGUCGGAUGACCCACCACCACCCAACAGGCUACCUGGGGGCCCUUGCGUCUGCUCUUUUUACAGCCUAUGCUGUGAAUA